GACGAACGCUGGCGGCGUGCUUAACACAUGCCAGUCGAACGGAAAGGCCCUGCUUUUGUGGGGUGCUCGAGUGGCGAACGGGUGAGUAACACGUGAGUAACCUGCCCUUGACUUUGGGAUAACUUCAGGAAACUGGGGCUAAUACCGGAUAGGAGCUCCGGCUGCAUGGUGGUGGUUGGAAAGUUUCGGCGGUUGGGGAUGGACUCGCGGCUUAUCAGCUUGUUGGUGAGGUAGUGGCUUACCAAGGCUUUGACGGGUAGCCGGCCUGAGAGGGUGACCGGCCUCAUUGGGACUGAGAUACGGCCCAGAAUCCUACGGGCGGCAGCAGUGGGGAAUAUUGCACAAUGGGCGGAAGCCUGAUGCAGCAACGCCGCGUGCGGGAUGACGGCCUUCGGGUUGUAAACCGAUUUCGCCUGUGACGAAGCGUGAGUGACGGUAAUGGGUAAAGAAGCACCGGCUAACUACGUG
rnacentral:rRNA from 1 species